rnacentral:rRNA from 1 species
AACGAACGCUGGCGGCAGGCUUAACACAUGCAAGUCGAACGCCCCGCAAGGGGAGUGGCGCCCGGGUGAGUAACGCGUGGAUAUCUGCCUUUUGGUUCGGAAUAACCCCGGGAAACUGGGGCUAAUACCGGAUGGUUCCUACGGGAUAAAGAUUAUCGCCAAAAGAUGAGUCCGCGUACGAUUAGCUAGUUGGUGAGGUAAUGGCUCACCAAGGCGACGAUCGUUAGCUGGUCUGAGAGGACGAUCAGCCACACUGGGACUGAGACACGGCCCAGACUCCUACGGGAGGCAGCAGUGGGGAAUAUUGGACAAUGGGGGCAACCCUGAUCCAGCCAUGCCGCGUGAGUGAUGAAGGCCUUCGGGUUGUAAAGCUCUUUUGGCGGGGACGAUGAUGACGGUACCCGCAGAAUAAGCCCCGGCUAACUUCGUG